GACGAACGCUGGCGGCGUGCUUAAUACAUGCAAGUCGAACGAUGAAGCCGGAGCUUGCUCCGGUGGAUUAGUGGCGAACGGGUGAGUAAUACGUGAGCAAUCUGCCCUUGACUCUGGGAUAACUGCGGGAAACUGUAGCUAAUACCGGAUACGACACCUUGGGGCAUCCCAGGGUGUGGAAAGAAUUUCGGUCAAGGAUGGACUCGCGGCCUAUCAGCUAGUUGGUGAGGUAAAGGCUAACCAAGGCGACGACGGGUAGCCGGCCUGAGAGGGUGACCGGCCACACUGGGACUGAGACACGGCCCAGACUCCUACGGGAGGCAGCAGUGGGGAAUAUUGCACAAUGGGCGCAAGCCUGAUGCAGCAACGCCGCGUGAGGGAUGACGGCCUUCGGGUUGUAAACCUCUUUUAGCAGGGAAGAAGCGAAAGUGACGGUACCUGCAGAAAAAGCACCGGCUAACUACGUGCCAGCCGCCGCCGUAA
rnacentral:rRNA from 1 species